rnacentral:rRNA from 1 species
CCUACGGGUGGCAGCAGUGGGGAAUAUUGCACAAUGGGCGCAAGCCUGAUGCAGCCAUGCCGCGUGUGUGAAGAAGGCCUUCGGGUUGUAAAGCACUUUCAGCGGGGAGGAAGGCGGUGAGGUUAAUAACCUCAUCGAUUGACGUUACCCGCAGAAGAAGCACCGGCUAACUCCGUGCCAGCAGCCGCGGUAAUACGGAGGGUGCAAGCGUUAAUCGGAAUUACUGGGCGUAAAGCGCACGCAGGCGGUCUGUCAAGUCGGAUGUGAAAUCCCCGGGCUCAACCUGGGAACUGCAUUCGAAACUGGCAGGCUAGAGUCUUGUAGAGGGGGGUAGAAUUCCAGGUGUAGCGGUGAAAUCCGUAGAGAUCUGGAGGAAUACCGGUGGCGAAGGCGGCCCCCUGGACAAAGACUGACGCUCAGGUGCGAAAGCGUGGGGAGCAAACAGGAUUAGAUACCCGUGUAGUC